AUUGAACGCUGGCGGCAGGCCUAACACAUGCAAGUCGAACGAGUGGCGGACGGGUGAGUAAUGUCUGGGAAACUGCCUGAUGGAGGGGGAUAACUACUGGAAACGGUAGAUAAUACCGCAUACCAUCGGAUGUGCCCAGAUGGGAUUAGCUAGUAGGUGGGGUAACGGCUCACCUAGGCGACGAUCCCUAGCCUGUCUGAGAGGAUGACCAGCCACAAUGGAACUGAGACACGGUCCAGACUCCUACGGGAGGCAGCAGUGGGGAAGAUUGCACAAUGGGCGCAAGCCUGAUGCAGCCAGGCCGCGUGUAAGAAGAAGGCCUUCGGGUUGUAAAGUACUUUCAGCGGGGAGGCGUGACCCGCAGAAGAAGCACCGGCUAACUCCGUGCCAGCAGCCGCGGUAAUUC
rnacentral:rRNA from 1 species